GUUCUGGGUUCAUGAAUCUACAGCUCUAACAAGACAUCUUUAUUUAACUUACAAAAUUCGUUUCUGCUAUAAAACAGAAAAGUUACCUUUAAAGUACAGAUAACUCUUUGGGACAAGUGUUACGAACUUUUCCAUCAAACCUUCAAAUAUUUAAUAGCAGUCUGAACAUCUUUAUCGCCUCUACCGCUGCAGUUGAGCACGACCUUAGUUCCAUUUGCUAGAGUUGGACACAGCUUCUCUAAGUAGGCGAGAGCAUGAGAUGUUUCCAGAGCGGGGAUGAUACCCUCUAACCGAGAUAACCUUUUGAAGGCUUCCAAAGCCUCCUCAUCUGUGAUGCUAUAAUAUUCUGCUCUACCGAGAUCUUUCAAAAAGCUGUGUUCUGGCCCAACUCCUGGGUAAUCCAAUCCGGCACUGAUAGAAUGAGGCUCAACAAUCUGCCCAUCUUCGUCUUGCAGUAGAUAACUCAUAGCUCCAUGCAGUACUCCUACCUCACCCUUUGUCAAAGUGGCGGCAUGUUUACUACUAUCUAGACCAAAACCUGCUGCUUCAACCCCAAUCAACCUCACAUCUUUGUCAUCAACAAACUCAUGAAAGAGUCCCAUAGCAUUUGAACCUCCACCAACACAUGCAACAAGCACGUCUGGUUUCCCGCCCCACUUUUCCAAUGAUUGCUUCCUUGUUUCUUUACCAAUCACUGCAUGGAACUCCCUAACCAUCAUGGGGUAAGGGUGUGGUCCUGCAACAGAUCCAAGUAUGUAGUGAGUUGUUUCAACAUUUGUAACCCAAUCCCUU
rnacentral:misc_RNA from 1 species